rnacentral:rRNA from 1 species
AAGACCUUUGCACUUUUGGAGCGGCCGAUGUCUGAUUAGCUAGUUGGUGGGGUAAUGGCCUACCAAAGCUUCGAUCAGUAGCUGGUCUGAGAGGACGGCCAGCCACACUGGGACUGAGACACGGCCCAGACUCCUACGGGAGGCAGCAGUGGGGAAUUUUGGACAAUGGGCGCAAGCCUGAUCCAGCCAUGCCGCGUGAGUGAAGAAGGCCUUCGGGUUGUAAAGCUCUUUCAGUCGGGAAGAAAAGGUUGCGACUAAUAAUCGCAAUUCAUGACGGUACCGAAAGAAGAAGCACCGGCUAACUACGUGCCAGCAGCCGCGGUAAUACGUAGGGUGCGAGCGUUAAUCGGAAUUACUGGGCGUAAAGGGUGCGCAGGCGGUUUUGUAAGUCAGAUGUGAAAUCCCCGGGCUUAACCUGGGAACU